ensembl:lncRNA
AGGUGAUGUCCAUGUGGGAUUUCUAGGGUAAGGAUGAAGAACUUGUCCUGGUUACAGUCCUCUGAAGUCCUGGAAGGCUUCUAGGCAUUGUCAGAAUUGGUUUUUCCUACCUCACAGAUCUCUUCUGUGGAUCUAGUCAAUGUCAAAUGGUUGUGGAUGAUCCACAAUGUCUUCUGCCCAGGUUCUCUCUAGUUUGGGCAGCUGGACUUUGUCGUGUUUUGAAAGAUCUUUGCACGAGAGAUGCCAAACGUGCUGUUUGCCCUUUUCGUGCUUUCCACCACCUGAUCCUUGUCUUGUUAGGCCUCUUGGCUGAAGCAGAAGCUUUGAGAGUGGAAGGGGGUGAAGAAGCAGCCUGUGCCAUUUCUCAUGUAUUUUUUUUACUUAACACAGACUGAUUCUGAAGGUGAAGGGAAAAUGUCAGCUGCUGUCCAGCUUCCCACUGCAAACAGCAACAGGCUGUAUGUUGGCUCUGCUGCCGUGGAAUGUGUCUGCUGCAGUGGAAUGUGGCAAAGGUAAUUUCAGAGGGACUACAAGGUUAUCUUUGUGAGCCCCUCUGGAGUAAAUCAGAUGCAGAAAAGCAGAGGAAAAGAAACACUCAUAACUGUAUUUUGCUCAUCUUUUCUUAGGGGUCUUGAAACAAGCAUAUAGAGAAGGGAUGAAGGAAGAUGGAGUCAUGCAGUCAGCAGGGGGAACAGCAAAAGACGAAGACAACGAUUCUCCCUGGGAUCCUGAGACUGAUUCUGAAGGUAAGGGGAAGGCAUCGGCCAAUGUACAACUUCCUGCUGCACCGCAAAACAGAGUGGGCGUGAGCUCUGCUGCAGUGGAGCACAUCAAAGCUGCAAGAGUAGAACAGAAGGAACAUUUCAUCUCCUCUUCUGAGAAUAAGCUUCCUGCAUUACACGGAGACGAUCUUCGGCUAAAGGUUGAUUCUUCAACUCAAACAGCUUCUGAACAGUACAAACAGCUUCCUGCAUUACACGAAGACGAUCUUCGGCUAAAGGUUGAUUCUUCAACUCAAACAGCUUCUGAACAGGACAAACAGCUUCCUGCAUUACACGGAGACGAUCUUCAGCUAAAGGUUGAUUCUUCAACUCAAACAGCUUCUGAACAGUACAAACAGCUCAAGUACCUGAAAGAACCUUUUCACAAGAAUGAUUAUUAUGCUGAGUCAGUAAAGAAUGUCCUAAAGGAGAAGAAGGUACUAACAGUUCUGAGGAACUUGCAAAGCUGCCUGGCUGAUUGUUUGGAUUCUUCAGCUGCAGCUAUCCCCCAGCUGGAAGAGCGCAUUCGACGGCUCCAAAUUCAAAGGGCAAGGCUGGAAGCCACAAUCCAGCAACAAGCCAAGACAAUUGAAGCUUUAGAGAAAAUCCAGCAAGUCUCUUACCGCAGUAAGCUACUCAGAGCUUUCCCUGUUCGUGAUCCGCAGAGCCUAGUUCAUGUGAGAAAAUUUUUUAAAUUUCAGGUUUUCCUAGAGACAGUCUUGGAGAGAUCAGACCAUGUAACUAGAUAGCCUGAAAGACCCAACCAUAUUCUAGAAGAAUGGGUGUGGAGGUACAUGUUGGAAGGAAGAUAUAUAGUAGGUGGUUUGGGAAGUCUGUACAUUCCUAGUACCUCAGCCAAUGCGGAAAGGAGGAGGGCAACAUGAAGUUGGGAGUUUAGGAUCAAAGGAGGCUGGAUCCUCCAAACACUUGAGAGACCCCGCAGGGUUAUGGCCCACUAGACUCUCCCUAUAUUCAAAUAAAGUUGAUUUUUGCAGGACUCCUCUGUGGACACCGGUCUUCGACACUGUGAUUUUCCACACACUAUCAAAAACUGCUUUGGAGAGAAGUUUGCAAAGUGAGCAAAUCCCUGAGGCUGGGUGCCCUGCGGGUGUUUCCACCAUUUUGGGUGUCUGUUCCUAUAAGCUUUGUAAUAGUUAGCAAUUUUGUUCUAGUGAUUACUAUCUAGUGAUUAGUUACUAUUAUUUUGUUCCCAUAAGAUUUGUAAAAGUUAGCAAUUUUGUAUCUAGUGAUUACUAUCUAUGAUUAGUUACUGUUAGUCUGUUCCCAUGAGAUUUGUAAAAGUUAGCAAUUUUGUUCUGGUGAUUACUAUCUAGUGAUUAGUUACUAUUAUUUUGUUCCCAUGAGAUUUGUAAAAGUUACUAAUUUUAUAUCUAGUGAUUGCUAUCUAGUGAUUAGUUACUGUUAUUUUGUUCCCAUGAGAUUUGUAAAAGUUAGCAAUUUUGUAUCUAGUUGUUACUAUCUAGUGAUUGCUUCUGUUAUUUUUUUGCCUGUUGCUGUUUCACUUAUCAAUAAAUUGUUAUAUAUUCACUUAUAUCUACUUGUAUUUAUUUGUUCCUUAUUGGUGGACAAGGGACUGGAGGGAACUAAGGGGAGGUAAUUCAUUCUAAAGCAUCCAGCUCUUUAAACUGUUUUAAACCAAGACCUAUUUUUUAGAACUACCCUGGAAAGAUUAUUAUUGAUAUUGUUCUUGGUAAAUAGGCUUCCUGGAUGGCCAGAAGCUUUUGUCUGUCACACUAACAAAACUCAAGAAGUAACUGAAGUUUUGUUAAAGGAAAUUAUAUCCAGAUUUGGGCUACCACUGGGCCUGUCUUCAGCCAAUUUUAUUCUGUGGCUGAAACAACUCAAAGUUUAUGCAAAGUGCUUGGGAGUCACAUGGUAUCUCCACACUCCUUAGAAACCUCAGUCCAGUGGAAAAGUAGGAAGGAUAAAGCAAAACUUGAAAUGGCAAAUAAGUAAGAUUUGUCAAAAAACUUCACUAACAUGGCCUCAGGCUUUGUCUUUAGCCUUAUUAAACCUUAUUAGCCUAGAUUGAAAGAAAUAUUAAGUCCUUAUGAAAUUAUUUAAGGCAGGCUGUAUAAAACUAACUAACUCAGGAGAAAGCCAUGUGUUAGGAAACAGUAAUUUAAAAGAGUAUUUUUAUAUUUGGGAAAAGAGCAUUUUUAUCUUUGAGAAAAGAGCUCUCAGUUUUGCAUAGGCUUGUUGUUUAGCAUCCUCAACAGCCUUGGACAUUCAGGUACAUCUUCAUCAGCCCAGGGAUUAGGUAUAUGUCCACGUGUGGAAUGAUGAACCACUUUAGGAAAAGUGGAAAAGACCAUUCCAGGUUCUCCUGGCUACCCACAUGGCUGUGAAAGCUGUUGGCUGAGGCUCCUGGAUUCACUACACCUGGACAAACCCAGCUCCAAACCAGGAAACACUUCACUGGACUGUUCAGCAGACAGCAAAACCUUUACAGAUACGAUUGAAAAGAAAUGUUAAUAAAUUGUACUUAAA